AAGCAUCAUCUACAGUCUUCUUUAUCGCACUGAUUUUGCGAAGCGGGACACAACGUGAGUUAUUGCAGGUGCUUAAUACUUUUGUGCUGUUGGACUUUAGACUCUAAAGUGAAAUUCAGCAAAACUGAUAUAGUUGCCAAAACUCUGUGGACGUGUCGGUGAAGUCAUGGCGGAGUUUGCAAAGCCACUGAAUAAAUAACACGCAGACGGCAUCGCUGUUGGCUCCAUCAAGCCACCAAGAGAUUGGUCAUAAGUUCUGUCAUAGUCCAGAAUGGUUUGUGUGCGCCAUAACUAUAUACUUUUAUGGGCUUUAAUUAUUAUCAAUUAAAUAGAUGAGUUUAAAAAAGCUAUUACAAACUGGUGGUUAUAAAAAAUCAAAAAGAUUAACUCCCCCCCUCAAUUAAUAAUUCAGUUGUAUUUAUUGCUUAAAUGAUCAAUUAUUGAAUAGUAAAAUUGGAUCACAAGAAUAAUUUUAAAAAGGCUAAUAAAUACUGAUCAUAUACAGCACCAUCUCACAGUUUGUUUGUUGUCUACUUUAACAUUUACGGUUUCCAUUGUUUGCUUUCUUUAAUAUUAACUGACCUUUCAGGUUUAGAUUACAUAUAGUCAUUUAUUGUCAAUAUAAAAAUAUUGAUAAGUGCAGCUUUAAUUUAAAGCUGCAGACAGUCUGAUUGGUCAGCUGUUAUGUGUCUAUCGAAUCAGAGCUCUUCUGCUGUUCUGUGGGUUGGACGUCCUUCAACUUUUAGGUGGCAUGAGAAGUCUUUACAUUAAAGCUAUCAUAAAAUGGAAACUAUAGAUUUAUUAUAAUAAGAAUAAUAAUAAUAAUAUUGUCCAAAAAUGUCCUGGUGGCACACUAGGGAUUGUUGUUUAGUCACAUACAGUAUUGAAUUCAGCAGUGACAUUUAUAAUGUUAAUUCUAGGUUAAAUAUACAGUAUGAUCUAUGAAGCACUGAAAUGCUUUGACCAUUUUAAGAGUAUUCAUCUUUUCAGGUUGUGUUGGCUUAGUCAGAAUAUAUAACAAAUAUGAUUUCUAUACUCAAAUAUUUGUUAUAGCAUUUAAAUGUCCCCGUAAUUCUGACAGUCGCUACAUUUCAGUUCAGUGUUCAUGCUUCAGUAUGUAUUGGAUUUAGUCUGUUUUAAUACGGUUUUAUAAAUUUAUAAAGAGCUGAGUGGAUGCAGCAUUGGUCCGCGUGAUUCUGUAUUGAGUGUAAGCAUCUGGUUGCGGUCCAAAUGUUUAACCCUUAGAUGCAUGACCUACCAAUACCUACACUCUUCCAUGAGUGGGGUCAAAAAUGACCCCAAUUAGAAUGAAUGCGUUUUAUGCAGUAAACUUAAUAAAUUUCUGAUUCUGAUACAUAUUUCCAGUGUCUCAUCAAAAAAUAAACACAUCUUAUCCCAUUGAGGUUGCAUGGAACUACACUGAAAAAAAUUAAUCUAUUAUGUUAUGUUAAAUGGUUUACACGACAGCUGAAAGCUGUCAAAAAACGACUUACUACUUAACAAUACAAUAUCACACACACACACCACACACACACACACACACACACACCUCAUGAUUGUGAUCAAGAGUAUAUUGACAUAGUGUGCGUGUCUAAGGGCAGCACGGUAUCACAGCAGUUCGUGAAAUGGUCACGUUAUUUUUAAUCUUUUGAUUCGUGUACACAGAUUAUCUCGUUGCUGAGGAUGUCAUUUAUUCGUGUUGUCAGCAUAUAAUAGGAAGCAUCUAUACGGAGGUUGGGUUUCGGAAAGGAAGCACGGGGAAAAGACACACCACGCCAACGCCCCACAACAACGGGACGCUGAUGCGCCACAACAACGGGACGGUUGGGUUUAGGAAAAGAAGCACGGUGAAAGGACACGCCACACGCCGGGACGCAAUCCCAGGUCUCUGGGAUGCCGACGCGCCACAACAAUGGGACGGGGUGAAAGUCUCCGGGGUGAAAGUCCUGUGUUCGAACCAUCCACCACCCCAACUAACCUCCUUACUUGGAUUUUCUGCAUUUAAUACUACUCGCUACUGUAAUCGUGCUGUGAUCACGAAAUAUGGUUCCCAUUGAAAUUCAUUAGUUUAAAAAUCGUCCUCACCAACACAAAAAAAUGAGAAAAACGUGUCCUUGUACAUGAAUCUAUAGAUUAAAUAAUGUGACCAUUUCACGAACUACUGAGAAAUGCUGUAAAUGCUAGCAGGUUUAGAGCCACUACUAAAAAUAAUAAAUCAUUUUGAAAUCAUAUUUGCUCUACUGAAAGCGCAUGGAAUCUUGCAAAACGUGCUUGUCUUUAUAGCUUGUAACUUUUGUUACAUUCCAUAGACUAAACAUUUAAUUGAUUAAAAAUAACCAUAAGUUGCAGCCAUAAUAUUUACAGUCUAUGGUUGCAUCCCAGCUACUGACAGGAAAUGUAAACACACCAAUAUUUAGUUUCAUCAAGGCUGAAUGUCAUCGUGAUACAUUAUAAUUGACUGACACAAUGUUGAGCACUGAAAUUAAUUUUCAACUGGAAAUGUCAAAGUGCCAACAGACCUUUCUGACAUGUUGGUGGUUACCAGUUAGAAAUUAUAUAACUAACCACAUCACUGCCUCUUGAAAAAACUACUUACUACUAAACAAUACUUCCAACUUAAACUUAUUAAAGUAUUUGUAUAACUUAACUCAUGGUAAGGGAAUUGAGGUAAAGUAAAGUAAACAUGAAGGGAUUUUGGUAAGCACUGUUUCACAUAGGAAUACACUAAUGCACUGUUGGUAGCAGUGAUCAGAUCAGUAAUUGGUAGAGAGUAUUAAAAAUAAUGUUAACAUUUAGUAAAAAUAACCUUCAGGGUGGUGAGACUGCUGCCAUUAGAUGUGUGGAUCAACAGUAAAUGUAUACCUGACAGUCACAGUUGGUAAAAAUCAAAGGCUCCUAGAAUUAACCUUUGAAAUUCCAUAGAAAAUGCUUGGGGUCAUUUUUGACCCCACGUAUGGAAAAGUGUGGUACUGAUACAAAACAUGCAAUUACUUAAAAAAUAUAACAAUUAGAUACAAAUCCAAAUGGCCUCAUGUCAAAGACAACUUAUUUGAGGAAUACAUGGAAGAUUAAAUGAUAAAAAUGUAAAAUUACAAAGAUAUUGCAAAAAAACAUUUUUGGAUGUUUAUCACCUGCCAGGAAGUGUCUUUUUAAAAUCUAGUGUUACUUUGCAGAUCAGAUGUUUUAUGUAUACAGUUAUAUUUGAAUUAAGUCUAGAGGAUGCAUCUUUAUUGAACAGGAAUGCUCUUGGACUAACUUUUUAAGAUUCACUUAAGCCCACUACUUUUAUUUUGAAAUUUCACAUUACCGUUAUAAAGGGAGUUUUUAAAUGAAAAGUUGCAUGUAACUUUUGUUUUGCAUUCUGACUUUGCAGAUGUUCGUCUUCACUAAAACAUCAUUGUAAUAUUUGAUUUUAGAUUUUAUUUUUGUAAUGUCACAAUAUUCAGUACUGUAAAUUAACUGUAAGAUAGACUGAUGAAUAUACAGUAACACAGUGCAUGUAUGAAGCGCUACAAUGUGGGGAAUUGUAUCAAAUGUUUACAUUGCUUUUAAUUUCUAAUAAACUACAAAUGAAGCAG